GGAUUCAUAGCUCAAGAGGAUGAGCACCCGUUAUAAUCGGGAAGAUACCGGUUCAAUUCCGGUUGAAUUCG
rnacentral:tRNA from 1 species